CCGACUACGCCAUCCAGCGAAUCCCAGGACGACUGAGAAAACGGAGAGUCCCGUUCGGAGGACUUAAAAACACCGAACACCUUGCCAAGAGGUAAACUUGGUAGUUAUCUUUUUCCUUUCAAUUAUUUUAAAAUAGUUUGCUUAGUUAAUCAGGUUCACAUCAUCUUAAAAAGAAAAUAAAAAUGUUAAAAAUAGUAAGUCCCAUGUGAGUAUGCUCAUGGCAUAAAACCCAUAAGUACAUUCACUGUGGUGGCAUAAAAAUAAAAUAAAUAUAUUCCUGUCCUAUAAAAAUAAAAUUAUAAAAAUAAAUUUAUGAUCCUACUAAAGAGUGUAACAUUUAUUGAGGAGGCUCAACAAGAUAAAGGCUAGAUAUUUAUGCUAACACUUAACCAGUUCCACAAAGCUUUGUUGUCUAUUUGAGCUCCACAGAAUUCAAGGAUCAAAGAAGACUAGCAGACGGAGGAUAUCCUAAUCGCUGUCAAGGUGCUGCCGACAUUCAAAUACAUCUCCGCCACCUGCUAGCUACAUCAGAAGAAACUACGUCAAAAUCCAGCUUGGGGGAGAGCACCCCUAUUUAUCCAGCUAAGUAUUCUACUCACGUUUAUACUUUACUCUAAUAAUAAAAUGGUGCAUAAUCAUAGAAACCCAAAUAAAGAUUUUGUGCUUAUAUAUAUCUUUGCUUAGUUUGCUAAAUAAAUAAAUAAAUAAAGUCUGCUAUGAACCCUCAUGAUAAGCUCUCACAUGGAAAUGAUGAAUAAUUGCUCUACCAUGGCUAGUUCUCAAAAUUGAAAUCUCUCUCAAGUUUAGGCAUCACUGUUAUGAAUUAAGAUUUGCUCUAAACCUGAACUUGUGGGAGAGUACUUGAUCUGAAGUCUAAGUCGUUAACGGAUAUGAUAUGGGAAGGUUGAGCUGCUGUUUAUCUGUUCCUAGAGAUGCUAGAAUUCUGGAGAAUUUUAUCUUUGAAAAUCUUUAAAAUGUUACAUGAUGAGUUCUUGUAGGAUGAGAGUUUAAAUUCCUACCACAGCCAUAUAUACAUGCUUGCUAAACUUUGAGCCACACAUUUACUUUUUACUGCUUAUGAGCAUUGAGUGUGGUCAAGCUGUGUAGACCCUUAGGAGCUUGUCAUGUGGUUAAAAUCAAGAUUCACUUGCAUGUUCACUCAUACAUGUUGCUUCUACUCCGGAAGUACGCAUCCACAUAUAUCCAUCCAUUUCCAUCUCCAGAACCACCCAAAAAUAUUCUACUCCUAAUCAGGGAGAGAAUAGCCAAAAACAUUUCUGUUUUCCCUUGUGAAAUAAAUGCUCAAGUUAUCUUGUUACUACCACUUGCUAUAUUAUCUCAUGAGAUGAGUGCUCUAAAAAAAGAAAAGAAAAAAAAGAUACGAGGAAAUAAAAAGGGGCAAGUGCCCGGAACCUCGAAAGAAAAGAAAAAGUGAGAUGAGAGGUAAAAAUGGACAAGUGUCCGACAGUAGAAUUAGGGGUACAAGAUACCCACCUGAGAGAAAAGAAAAAAAAGAAAAUAUAGAGCAUCUCAUUCUCCUCAAAAAGUUUUAAAAGAGCAAGAAAGGUAUGUAUCCCCUCAAAAGAGCACAAGUAGAAUUAGACUUUCACCAUUGUUAUCACCAUCAUCACCAUACACCAUUCAUUCGCCACACAUGCACAUCUUCAUUUUACUUAUUGACUUGUUCUUCUAGAUCCAUGGUUUGACUAUGCAAUAAAUGUCUUGUAAGUAUGUAUUAGCUGUCUCCCACCUAUGAGCUCCAGAUAUCAAAAGCCUUAUUAGAGUAGGGUGAGAGAGAAGGCAAUGUCACUAUGCCUUAUACUACAAAUACCACAUACUUUGAGAGAAGGCAUAUACCAUUACUGCCUUGGUAAGGAUCAGAAAUACCUCAAAAGAGAGACUAGAGAGAGUCAUACAAGGAAUCUCUGAGUUUUAUUUGAAAAUCUGCAAAAACUCCAGAGCUAUAGCUGAUCAAGAAUAAGAGACAUGGUGCUUGACUAGACCGUUCUAUCUUUUAACUACUCAAGACAGAAGUGACGGUUACAAGUCCCAUGGUGAAAGGUAAAUGAGUAAGUUUUAAGUCUUAACAGUUUACUCUAACCAGAGAUGAGAUCUUGUUUAAACGCAUGUGGAUCUUUAAGUUAUGAAACCACUGCAGAAACUCUUGAGUUCAUCUUUGCUCAGGGACGAGCAAAGGUUAAGCUUGGGGGAGCUUGUUGACGGUCCUUAAUGCUCACAUUUAACCAUCAACUAAUCAUAGAAAAGGAUCCAAAUGCAACCAACACCUAGACUUAGGGUUUUAUCUGACAGAAUUCCACAAGUUUUGGUGUUUGUCUAUUUCUGCAGGGAGUUAUCAGGAAAUACGGAAGAAAGGCCCACACGUCGGGUUUACAUAGAGAUAUUAAUGUGCCGCGCAAUUUUCUAUCAUCUAGAAGACUCCAGAAGCCACGGGACCGAACCGGAGGCCGAGAGGACACAGGGACAGGGCGCCCGCCCUCCUUUCCUGGGCGCCCGCCCUCAGCCAGAGUCCAAUCAGGACUCUCUUUCGGGAUAUUGCUCCACCGACCUAAAGGAUCAAGGAAAACCACACGAUCAAUGUCGGUUUGAUCCAACGGCCCAGAUUCACUUGAAGGGACUAUAAAACCAGACCCCCCUGGCCCCUGGAGAUCAUACCUCUUCUACAGAAUCAAAGCUAGGGUUUCAAUUCUUCAUCCAAGUAGAGAGGAUCCCUCUAGUUCUUCUAGUUCUAUCUCUAGUUCAUCUAGAUCUAGUUCUAGUUCAUCUAGUUCUAGUUCUAGUUCCUCUAGUUCUAGUUCUAGUUAGUUCUAGUUGUAAUCUAGAAAAUAGGGAGAGAGAAGAGGAGAGCAGAGGAGGAGGAGCCGGAUCUGUCGGAUCUUCCUCAACAUUAUACUUUUGCAGCAUCUGGUUUGUUCUUCAUCGUUCUCCAGGUUCUUCAAUUCAUAAUCCUGAGUUCUCUAAUUACUUUUAUUUACAUUCAAGUAAUUUAUUGGAUUCCCGCUUGCAUCAAGUGCUCUAGUCUUUAUAACGCUAGAGUAGUAAUUAAUAGAUUAGACGUGGUGUUUAGUCUUGCGAUUAUCUAGAAUUGCACCCAAUCCUGCGGAUUGUUGUGGUAGCCUUAGGGUAGUGACAGCCCUAACGGUCGACGUAUUCCACCACGUUCGGAUCGGUGUUUGUAGGACCGUAGUCAGACCUUCCUAGCCCCCUUCUCAUCUCUUUCCGCGGUUAGUGCUCUGAUGUCCCGAUAUAGAUAAUCUUGAAGUAAUUCUUGAUUCUUAGAUCAACUAGAGAACUCUCAGGAAACUUCCUCUCUUCCCACCAAAAAUAAUUAUAUAGUUAUCCUUGGGCGAUCUUGGAUCUUAAUUAGUACACUCACGUUCCCUGUGGAAAAUCGAUACUCUGGAAUACUCCCGGGUGAAGGCUACAUCGGUAUCCGUGCGCUUGCGGAUUUUUCUGUUUGCGUUUAAAAUACCCAACAAAGACCAAGAAUGUGAUUCUUAGGAACAAGCAUAAAGAACUAAACAUGUUGAGCUAAUUAGAUUGGAUCAAAUGAGGUUGUAACUCAAAGCAUGUUUGGUUCUCUACUUAUGUGCAUGAUAGGAUUAAGGAGGAUAAUUUGGAAAUAAAGAUCACUUACCAAGAGAUGUUACCCUAGUAUUGAAACAUGUUGAAGCCAUAACAUCUUGUAGAAGCUUUCCUUUCUUGGCUAGUCAUGUGCCUUGCUCAUGGACAACUUGUCUCCUUUGUUGUACUCCUUUCUUACCUUAUGCCAUUAUUUGCUCUCCGUCUAAUUUGUGCUUGGACCUUUAGCUCUUCUUAUUAUUUUAUCCCUAUAAAUCAUUAGUGGACAACACAUACCUGAAGGAGUAUACAAAUAAUGACAAGGGCAUAUUGUUGUAACACAAAGCUAAGGGGCACUUUCUAUGCUACAAAAGAAGUUGUUUUAACAUACUUAUCAUAGCACAUUUAUUAUUCACAAUUACUUAUUUCUAAUGGAUUGAUUUUAUUUUCCCAAGUUAUGUUUUGAUUUUUAAAUAUAGGCAUUAUGAAUCAACUCAAACUCAUAGAAAUAAAGCAAUAGUGAAUUUAGGGAUUGCAAACCAGCAUAUGGAGCGAUGAGGAAGAACUUGGUUGGAUCAUCUAGAGGAGUUGACCUUCUUCCUCAUGUCUCAACUUCUCAACCUCAUAGGUGAGAGUGCAGAAUGUUGCAUGCUUUUCUCUUGUCAAUCAUUUCUUGAUUCUUGAUAAUUAGUGGUUGACAAGAGAAUGCAACUCCAUGGAGUAAGUGCUUUGAUGAUGGAUCAUGUUUUGUGGCACCCUUCUGUCUUCUUGGCUACGAGUGAGUUGUGUCUCUCUUGUGCACAAUUAUUGUGUCUCUCUUCAUCUCUAGUGUGAGUUCAUCCCAGGACUUUCCCAAUUUGUAUUUGAGAUUCUCCUGCAGGGGUUAGUCCAACAAAAAUAUUCCAAUAUCUACUAUAGCAUACUAUCAGCUCAAAAAUCAACAUAGACACCAUGUCUAAUUUGAUUCAAGAAGGCAUUUUCACCUAAGCACCAUGCUUAAUUUAAAAGCCUUUUAGAAGUAAGAUCAACACACCUUUUGGUCCAAAAAUUAAACUAGACACCUUGUCUAAUAUAAGUCAAAACAAUAGUUUAAACUAAGCACCUUGCCUAAUUUUAAAAGGUGUCUAAAAAGACUUCAAAAGUCUACGCAUACUAUAGUAAACAAAGGUAGCAUGAGAGCAUUAUAGUGAUUUACUCAAUAGUGAUGAUAGAGUAUGAUCGCAAUGAGAAAUAUUAUUAUAUUUUUAGAUGUAGAUGAAUUGUAUGUAUGCAAGGAACUAAACAUGAUGUGGAUGAGAAAACUAAAUGAAGUGGAUGCAUGGAUGAUUCAAAGUAGACAUGUAGUGGUAUGCGAGGAAAUAAAAAUAUAACUACUCAUAAGUUUUAAAGCCUAGUAAGACUAUCUCACCCUGAUCAUACUUGCCUUGAUGCACAACUGGGAUGAGUGGUGUAGCAUAAAUAUCUGUCACAUGUGAUGGGGGUUGUAUUAUUGUGACGACAACCUUUUCUCCAAUCUACACAUGGUUAGAAUAAAUAAUAUAUAUGUGUAUACACAAACUUGUGAGAUGGCAGGGUUCUUGAAUGAUGGAUCUUGAAUGUUCAAACACUCUGGGUUCUUUAAUUUUGUGGAAUCUUGUCACAAGGUCGAAGCGGCAUCUGAUGUCCUAUCUAUUCCACACUCAACAGAACAAAGGGGUAAUCCUACUAAAGCUAAUUGUACACUAAAUUAGCAAACAUCAAGGUUGUUAUUAGAAUCUUUAUGCCAAUUGCUUCCCCGGCAACGGCGCCAAAAAUGUUUGUUGGCAUUUCUUAAUGCAAUCACCAAAGAUACGCAAAAAGCCUAAUCCCCAGCAGCAGCGCUAGAAAUGCUUAAUGACAUUUGUUAGUGCAAAAAGAAUUAUAAAAGAUUCCACAAGCGCACAAAACAUCAUCGUAGCAUUUUACCGGGAGUAUUCCAAGUAUCGUUAUUUACAUUUUACCACAGGGAAGCAGGGUUAAGAAUCUAAUAAUUCACUAUCCUACAUCUACUAACUUAGAGUAUCAACUAAACUAAUGUAGGGGUAAAUAAUGUACUAUAAGAUAAUAGCAUAUAAGAGAAUUCAAUGAUAAAUGUAUAGAUAGUCAUAGCGGGAGGACAACGAGAAAGAUCUAGGUUCAUUUGUACUUCUCUAUUACUUAGGUUCUAAGGCAACAGAAUAUGAAAAGAUAUAGCAAUCAUACAAUGGCACUUUGGAGCAACAGUACCUUUCCGACUCUCGAAAGAGACUGGAAGAAGGUAGUCAGGGGAAGGCUGCCAAGAAGCUCUACGAAACAUCAAUCCGAACGUGGUGGAAUACAAAGGCCUAACAGGGCUGUCACCCCUGGGGCUACCACAACUAUUUGUGGGAUUGAGCGCAACCUCAAGUAAACUAUAGCCUAGACACCAUGUCUACACUAGCGUUCACUGCUCUAAUUACCAUGAAUAACUAGAGCACUCAAUACGAGCAAAGAUCCCAUGCCAAGAUAUAACAACUACACUAAUCAUAAAGAGGCACAAACUAAAUAGAAAAGAUAAUAUAUUAAAGCAUAAGUUUUACAAAUAAGAGAUAUGAAAACAUACCAAAACUCUGAAGAAAACUCCUCCAGAACCAGAGCAUAGCUCCGCUCUCCCUAACUCCCAAUUAGAACUAAUCUACUACAUUGGAAUGUCUAGCCCUAAUUCUCUAGAGAAGAGAGGUCAUCCAUUCGAGGGAUGUCUCUACAACUCAUAAUGAUUCUCCUCCCAAGGGGUUAGUCUUGUAUUUGUAGGGGGCAUCUGGCCCCUCCUCUACCUUGAACUAGUGAUGUGGUACUAAUCUUUCCACCCCCUAGGAGGAACCAUAGCCCUUGGAUCAAACCGACUUAAACGUGCGCUUAAGAUUAAUCCUCAAAGGCGGUGGAUCAGGAAUCCGUGAACCAGAGCCUGAUUGAUUGAGGUAGUCGGGCGGCCGCCCAAGGGGGUGGAGCGGGCGCCCAUCCCUUGUGGCCGUUUGCCUUCUUGUUUGUUCUGGUGUCUUCUCGAACCUUCUAGACUCAAGAAAAGUGUAUUUUCUUGUGAAAUUCAUAUUCCUUCAUCCGAGACUCCAAAUAUGGCAAAUGAUAUAUGGAUUUCAAUCAUCUCGAUGAGCCUGUCACCAUGGUGAAGUCCAAUUCAUCAAUUGAGAUACUUUUAUUCAAUGAUUAGUAUGCCUUUAACUCUUUUCCUAUGUGACCCCUACAAAACAUAGAUGUACCAAAACUCAUGGAAUUUGUUAGUUCCAACCUCUAAACCUAUGUUGAUGAGCAUCUCUUUGUAGUUAUAAAAGUUAUGUUGACAGUUAAAAAUAGGAGUUAACUACCAUCAACAGUCACCAUGUGUGAGGGGUUCCUAGGGAUCACCCCUCACUCAGAGCUAUAGCUCCACCUGUUCUGGGCGGACAUCUUGUCAAAGUCUGGUGGGACCGGCUAGCCCCAGAAGCCAUUGAGGGCCAGUGGCUAUACUCUCCAGGUGUGCCAGCGGAAGUCUCACCUCUACAUUCAUGCCUUGCUUUAGUCCUCCAAACGAGGCUAUCAGGAGGGGUAGUUGUACCUCCACAACGACCUCAACAUGCUGCCCCCUAUACUGGGAAGGUGGUGAGCGAAUGGCCCAAGAAGUGGAAGUGGGGUGUUCCCAUAGAGGAUCAACCAACGUUGGACCUGCUCCUCGAGGGAGUGGAGAGGCUCUAUGGUAAGGGUCUCAUAGCGGCCGGCGUGUCAACUGCUUUCCAUAUGCGAAGAGCCCUCCUGCUAGCACAGUGCCCACUUUUCAUGUACUAGAUGGGCUCAACAGCAUCGCUAGAGGGAACACAGAUGUCCUCCUAGGCUCUCCCUAUGGGGGAGGUCACUAAGCGUGUGACUUACACCAUGUCGUUGGGUUUGGCAGAAAACUUCUAGGUCUUCACAAUGCAACAUAGGAGGGGUAUAUUUACGUAGUAAGAGCCUUCAAAGGGAAGACCUCUACCGUUAGUGCUCUAACCUAGUAGUCGAGGCUCAAGCGUUGUAGGGGAAGAUCACCCCUUUGGUGGAGAGGGUGGAGUCACUAGAGGAGGCCCUUGUGUAGGAGUCAAACGAGCAGAGCAUCCUCACAGGAACUUUUUGGGAUGAGCUCACAUGGGUCAAGGCUGCCUUGGCAGUGCAGAACCAUGCCCUGGCCUAGGCCACUAGGGACCUAGACGAGCCUCGAGGUUUUACCCGUUGAUGGGAAGGGAAGGCAAAGAAGGAGGAGGAAGAGGCAUGGGGUAUGUUUUCUUUCUUGAAUGUGACCUUCAUCAUGUCAUCCUACCUCAGGUCCUAACCAUUAGUCUUGAUUUAUCACAAAGCUAGCGAGGAAGCAAUCUGAGGCCAACUCAACGGUUGCAGCCCUGUAGGCUGCCCUAAACAUGGAGUCCAUGGAGCAUAACGCUCUACGAACUAUCAUUACCUCAGUUUGUGACACGCUUGAGGCUGAGGAUAACCGCUCUGACAAAGUCACAUGGCCUCCCUCUACACCUAGGUGGGCAAGAGGCUGUAAGAUGCCCUCGACACUAGUGUGAAGCGUGCCUUGGCCGUCGUGAGCUCCCACUACCUCGGUGUUGAUCUCCUAGCCAUUAGCAAGGGGUACAUCAUUGACAAUGAUGAGAAGUCUAAGAAGGAAGUGCUAAAGCUUGCCGAGGCGGUCGACGCCCCUAGCAAUGCCUUGGCCACCCUGAUUGAAUAGGAGGUGGCACUCCCCCUGCUAGACCUAUAGAGUAGGAGUGAGGUAGGGCCGUAGUGCCCUUGUAAAAGUUAUGUUUUUUGUCCUUUAUCAGACUUUGUGGCCUUCUGAGGCCUUUUUAAACUCUACUAAGUCUCUUUUUAACUUUUGUAAAUUAUGCCUGAAAUAGUGGAGUCUCAGUUGCUUAUUAUUUUUGUCAAAUGGUCUAGCCUCGGUAGUGCAAGGUGAGGUUCAAUGUUAAGCAAUUUUGACCCAAGGCUUACUUAUGUUAUGAGUCUAAAAUUCUAUUUGAAUGUUCUGGGGCCUAGCCUUUGCUUCACUUUGAUUGUAAUCCAUACAAAGUCCUUUUCAAAAUUGUGUAGCCGAUCCUUUCGGUCAAAGGGAUGGUGAGUAGGAAUGUCAUAGCUCAUAAGCAUAGACAGUUCCUAGCUCAUCUAGGCCUAGCUCCUUUAGGAUGGUCUUUUGAUUUUUAGGUCUCUAUGAGUUCUUUUGUCAAAGUGAGCAAUAAGGCUAGAGUCAUAAUAUUCUUAUCUUAAGGGUGAUUGAAAAAAAUGAGACUAGGGGUCUCCCCCUUGUAGGCCUUGAGGGAGGCUUGGUUUUUGUUGAGGUAGAGCUGAGGCUCGCACUUGAGCUUUGAAAAUUUAAAGUGCUGCCGAGCCCCGACCUAAGGCUUGGGUGAGAUCUUAAGAAAAUUUACACAAUGCUUAAAGAUAUUUCUUUAUUGCUUUCUUGAGACAAGGGUAUGUAUAGUGCUUGGUAUUUAAGGGUAAAAACAAUGUAGUUGUUUGAUGUUCUAGGCAUUGGUGUAGACUUCUCCCUUCUCGUUAGCCAGCAUAUACGUUCUAGGUUGGAGUACCUCGAUGAUGAUGAAAGGACCCUCUUAGGGAGGGGUGAGCUUGUGGCAUCCAUGGUUGCUCUGCCUUAGCCUCAGCACCAAGUCGCUAACCCUAAAGGCCCAUCCUCGGAUGCGUCAGCUGUGGUAGCGUCAUAGAGCCUACUAGUACUUAGCCGAGUGUAGGAGAGCUAUGUCUCGGGCUUUCUUCCAGCUGAUCCAGGGCAUCUUCUUGGAAGGUUCUAUUGCUAUUCUCCUCAUAAGCUUUUGCCCUCAGGAGCCAUAUUCUAAGUCUAUGGGGAGAACAGCCUCGGACCCUUAGACCAUGAAGAAUGGCGUAAAACCCAUGACUCAUCUUUAGGAUGUCCUUAGACUCCAAAUGAUAGCUAGAAGCUUGGUGAGCCAUCUUUUGCCAAACUUGUUCAGAUGGUUGGACAUCAUGGGUUUUAGACUUUGUAGGAUCAUGCCAUUAGCACGCUCUACCUACCCAUUAGUCCUUGGAUGAGCCACUACUGCCUAGUCCACACAUAUGUGGUGCUCAUCGCAAAACACUAGAAACUUCCCCCCGAUGAAGUGUGUGCCAUUAUCAGUGAUGAUGCAGUUUGGAACCCCAAACCGAUGAAUGAUGUCGGUAAAAAAUGACACCACUUGCUUGGACUUGAUCCUGAUGAUGGGACAAGCCUCGAUCCAUUUUGAAAAUUUGUCAAUUGCCAUGAGAAAGUGGGUGAAGCCCUCGGGUGCUUUUUGUAGAGGUCCUACGAGGUCGAGAACCCAUACAACAGAGGGCCACAUGAUGGGGAUCAUCUGUAGAGCAUGUGUUGGAGAUGGGUCUGUCCUGUGCAGAAUCGACACCCCUUGCACGUCCACACAACUUCCAUGGCAUCUUCCAAGGUGGUUGGUGUUAACGGUAGAUAACUCCAAAUUUUAACCGUCAACUAAACUUGAAAAUGGAUCUAUAUACAAACACCUAGUAGAUAUAGGGUUAUCACUAAUAGAAUUCCAUGAGUUUUGGUGAACGUCUGUUUUUGUGGGGUGUUAGCUAAAAACAACCAAAGAUGGUCCACAUGUUGGUUUUACAUAGAGAGAAUACCACAAAUAGCAACUCAAUAACAAUCUAGAAGACUCGAAAGAUGGUCCACAUUUUGUAGUUGUACAUGCAGGAUCAAAGUCUCCUAACUUGAGGCUUGGUCCUAGGAUCAUUUACCAAUUCGACUUCUAAUACUAGGAAGUUUAUUGUUCUUAUUGUUGUUUGGUUUAUGGGUUUACUUUAUUCACUAGCGCUAGGGAAUAGAAUAAUUGUUCGUAGAGUAAGCGUGGUGCUUCGGCUAGGAAUACUCAUAGAUACUCCCUACCUGGUCAGGUUUGUGGUAAUAGUGAGGGGAAGUGACAGUCUCUUUGUUGUCUUCGUAAUCCAUGUCCCGUCAGGAGGUAAGGUAGGAAUUAGUGUGCUGGGGUUACGCAUCCUCUGUGGUGUAUUUUUUUCUUAGGUGCCCCCUGUUGGGUAUUUUAAACGCAAACAGAAAAAUCCGCAAGCGCACGGAUACCGAUGUAGCCUUCACCCGGGAGUAUUCCAGAGUAUCGAUUUUCCACAGGGAACGUGAGUGUACUAAUUAAGAUUCAAGAUCGCCCAAGGAUAACUAUAUAAUUAUUUUUGGUGGGAAGAGAGGAAGUUUCCUGAGAGUUCUCUAGUUGAUCUAAGAAUCAAGAAUUACUUCAACAUUAUCUAUAUCGGGACAUCAGAGCACUAACCACAGAAAAAGAUGAGAAGGGGGCUAGGAAGGUCUGACUACGGUCCUACAAACACCGAUCCAAACGUGGUGGAAUACGUCGACCGUUAGGGCUGUCACUACCCUAGGGCUACCACAACAAUCCGCAGGAUUGGGUGCAAUUCCAGGUAAUCGCAAGACUAAACACCACGUCUAAUCUAUUAAUUACUACUCUAGCGUUAUAAAGACUAGAGCACUUGAUGCAAGCGGGAAUCCAAUAAAUAACUUGAAUGUAAAUAAAAGUAAUUAGAGAACUCAGGAGUUAUGAAUUGAAGAACCUGGAGAACGAUGAAGAACGAACCAGUUGCUGCAAAAGUACAAUUUUGAGGAAGAUCCGACAGAUCCGGCUCCUCCUCCGCUCUCCUCUUCUCUCUCCCUAUUUUCUAGAUUACAACUAGAACUAACUAGAACUAGAAAUAGAGGAACUAGAACUAGAACUAGAUGAACUAGAACUAGAUCUAGAUGAACUAGAGGUAGAACUAGAAGAACUAGAGGGAUCCUCUCUACUUGGAUGAAGAAUUGAAACCCUAGCUUUGAUUCUGUAGAAGAGGUAUGAUCUCCAGGGGCUAGGGAGGUCUGGUUUUAUAGUCCCUUCAAGUGAAUCUGGGCCGUCGGAUCAAACCGACAUUGAUCGCACGGUUUUCCUUGAUCCUUUAGGUCGGUGGAGCGUUGUCCGCGAAACGUGACCGAAUUGGUCUCUGGAAGUGGGCGGGCGCCCAAGGGACUAGGGCGGGCGCCCUGUGCCUGAGCCCUCUCGGCCUCCGCUUCGGUCCCGUGGCUUCUGGAGUCUUCUAGAUGAUAGAAAAUUGCGCGGCACGUUAAUAUCUCUAUGUAAACCCGACGUGUGGGCCUUUCUUCCGUAUUUCCUGAUAACCCCCUGCAGAAAUAGACAAACACCAAAACUCGUGGAAUUCUGUCAGAUAAAACCCUAAGUCUGGGUGUUGGUUGCAUUUGGAUCCUUUUCCAUGAUUAAUUGAUGGUUAAAUAUGAGCAUUAAGGACCGUCAACAAGCUCCCCCAAGCUUAACCUUUGCUCGUCCCUGAGCAAAGCUAAAAUCAACAAGAAAAACAGGGGUUACUUUUAUGCCUCUUACUACAGGGUUUUUAAGUUAUCACUAAGGUCUUAAGUGAUUGAAAAACAGAAUGAUCAAGUCAAGCACUAUGUCUUAAGUUCUUCUGUCUUACCUUUGUUCUGGAGUUGUUUGUAAGUUUGCAAAAUAAAACUGAGGCAUUUGCCUUCUUCUCGAAAGAUAUAUAAGUAGAGCUUUAAAAGUUUUAGCAUACUUACUUUGCAUUUUGCUAUGUCAACGCUCGGAGUAAGGGAGAGGAAUGUCAUACUCCUAGAUCAAGACCUUUGACCUUUUUGAAAAGUUUGUCAUCUCUUACUGGCAUAUUGCUUAUUAGAGGGACCAUGGGCUAUCAUUUUUUUUUCUUUUUUUUUCAGUCUCUUUUUUUUUCAAGUGGGCAGCAAGUACCCCUAAUUCUACUGUCGGACACAUGUCCAUUUUUUUCCACUCAGGUGGGUAUCUUUGUACCCCUAAUUCUACUUCGGACACUUGUCCAUUUUUACUUCUCGUCUCACUCUCUCCUUUUUUUUUGAAUCAAAUUUUUGCAUAGUCCCAUGCCUCUAACGCAAUAAUACUUCGGAAGAGUGAAUCUUUUAUAUUUUUAAAACAAAAAGAUCUUGAUCUUGGGAGCAUGAUAAUUCUCUCAACCAAAACUACAAGAAUUAACAAUGGCUUGAACAAAGCAAGUGCCCACAGUUUUAAUAUUCAUAUCUUAUAAGACUCUAGGUAUUAUGAUCUCAUAUUUAUUUAUUUUUUUUUAUGAAUUUUUAGAUUUUCAAAAGAUAAAAUCUCCAGAACUCUAGCAAAACUUGGAACAAGUUAAAUAGUAGCUCAGACCUUCUCAUAUCAUGUUUGUCAAUUACCUAGACUUGAAUCAAACUUUCUUUUUAUUUUAUUUAAAACUUAGGAUUACACAAAACUAUUGUAUAUUACUCAAAAGAAAAACUUUGUUUGGUUUCAUGGUUAUGCAUUUUUAUUUAUUUACUUAUUUCAGAAUACUAGUAAAUAAAACCAAAGGAAGAAAAGUAAUACUUAUCUAGAUACAUGUGGGGGUGCCUCCCCCAAGCUGUAUGUUGACAUAGUCGUUCACUCUUGUAGCCUGCAUGUUUGGUCUCACUCUUCUUAAGCCUCAAAAUCCUGCACAACCCAAAUAGACAACAAAACUUGUGGAACAUGUUAAGGGUUAGGUAAUUGUCUAGAGCUUAUGAGAGCUUAAUGUGAGAAUUCUAUAAACUCAAUCACAUCAAGCUCCUCUACCAGGUUGUUUUGUGGCUCGAGAUAGAUUUUCAAGCGUUGACCAUUUACCUUAAAAGUGUUACCUAUGUCGUCUUGGAUGGUAAUGGCUCCAUGAGUUGAAGUGUCAAUAACCUUGUAUGGUCCAUCCCACUUACUUCGUAGCUUACCAUGCCCAAAGAGCUUUACUCUUGAAUUGAAUAGUAGAACCUUAUCUCCAGGCUUAAACUCCUUGUGCUUGAUUCUCUUAUCAUGCCAUCGUUUCGUUCUCUCUUUAUAGAUCCUUGAAUUGUGAUAGGCUUUCUCUCUCCAUUCUUCUAGCUCAGAUAGUUGCAUCAGACGAUUCUUGCUAGCAAGGUGGAGAUCCAUGUUCCAUUUCUUGAGUGCCCAAUGAGCCUUAAACUCUACUUCCACAGGCAAGUGACACGUUUUUCCAUAUACAAGUUGAUAAGGUGACAUGCCUAUGGGUGUUUUGAAUGCAGUUCUAUAUGCCCAAAGUGCAUCAGGAAGUUUGUCCUUCCACCCCUUACCCAUCUCAUCUACGGUCUUUUGUAAAAUAUUUUUGAUUUGUUUGUUAGAUGUUUCGGCUUGACCGCUAGUCUGAAGAUGGCAUGGUGUUGCGACGUUGUGUCGAACUCCAUGAUCGGCUAGGUACUUCCGGAAGAUUUUGUCGAUGAAGUGGGAACCUCCAUCGCUUAUAACUAUCCGGGGUAUACCAAAGCGAGGAAAGAUUACUUCAUGGAACAUUCUCUUGGCAUGUUUUGAAUCAGCUGAUCGACAAGGUAAGGCUUCUACCCAUUUGGACACGUAGUCCACAGCUACUAAGAUAUACUCGCAAUUCCCGGACAUAGGGAAUGGCCCCAUGAAAUCAAUGCCCCAUACGUCGAAAAGUUCUACUUGAAGAUUAUUUGUGAGAGGCAUUUCAUUUUGUGAGUUGAUAUUCCCAUGUUUUUGACAUCGGUGGCAUCUCCUGACAAAGUCCUUUGUAUCUUCAUACAUCGUUGGCCAGAAAAAGCCACUUUGCCAAAUUUUAGCAUGUGUCCGGAAUGCUCCGUAGUGUCCUCCAUAUGGCGAGGCAUGGCAUCUUUCCAUAAUUUGAGUAGCCUCAGCCAUAGGAACACACCUUCUCAAGAGUCCAUCAGCGCAGACUCGAAAAAGAUAUGGCUCAUCCCAAAGGUGGAAACGACUAUCGUGAAGUAACUUCCUUUUGUUUGCACCAGGUGGGACAUAGCCUUUUACUACAAAGUUUACGAUGUCUGCGUACCAUGGAUCUGCAUGUGUUAUCUUAAGUAGGGUGUCAUCCCUUAGGUAGUCAUUUAUGGGAAGCUCAUCAUGUGUUUCCUUAUAUUAAAGCCUAGACAAGUGGUCGGCUACAGAAUUCUCAACUCCCUUCCUAUCUCGGAUUUCUAUGUCAAAGUCUUGGAGUAGAAGAAUCCACCGAAUUAGACGAGGCUUAGCAUCUUUCUUAGUGAGGAGGUACUUGAGAGCAGCAUGGUCUGAAUAGAUGAUUAUCUUUGCCCCCACUAAGUAAGAUCUAAACUUGUCUAUAGCAAAGACAACAGCCAAAAGCUCUUUUUCAGUUGUAGUGUAAUUGAGCUGUGGUCCAGAUAAGGUUUUGCUAGUGUAGGAUAUGGCAUAAUGCAUUUUAUCCUUGGUUUGUCCUAAAACGGCACCAACCGCAAAAUCGCUAGCAUCACACAUGAUCUCAAAAGGAAGAUUCCAGUCAGGUGGUUGGAUAAUCGGGGCUGAGAUGAGUGCUUUCUUAAGAGUUUGAAAAGAUUCAUGACACUCAUCACUAAAGAUGAAAGGCGCAUCCUUAGCUAGGAGAUUAGUUAGGGGUCUAGCAAUUUGAGAGAAGUUCUUGAUAAAGCGUCUAUAGAACCCUGCAUGUCCCAAAAAGCUACGGAUUCCUUUCACAUUCGUUGGAGGUGGAAGUUUUUCAAUAACUUCAAUCUUUUCUUUGUCCACCUCUAUACCACGUUCGGACACUUUAUGUCCUAGCACUAUUCCUUCCUGAACCAUAAAAUGGCAUUUCUCCCAGUUCAGGAUUAAGUGCUUUUCUUCACAUCGCUGCAAGGCUCUAUCUAAAUUCUCCAAACAAUGAUCGAAGGUUUUGCCAUAGACGGUAAAAUCAUCCAUGAAAACCUCCAUGAUCUUCUCAAUCAUGUCCGAGAAAAUAGACAUCAUGCACCGUUGGAAAGAAGCUGGAGCAUUGCACAAUCCGAACGACAUUCGUCGGUAUGCAUAAGUUCCAUACGGGCAUGUAAAGGUAGUCUUUUCUUGGUCAUCUGGGUGGAUUGGGAUUUGGUGAUAUCCAGAAUAACCAUCAAGGAAACAAAAGAAAGAGUGGUUUGCAAGCCGUUCCAACAUUUCAUCAAUGAAGGGUAACGGAAAAUGAUCUUUCUUUGUAGCCUUAUUGAGUUUUCGAUAGUCAAUACACAUACGCCACCCAGUGACAAUUCGUUGAGGGAUGAGUUCAUUUUUCUCAUUCAUAACAACCGUCAUUCCUCCUUUCUUUGGCACUACUUGGACAGGGCUAACCCACUCACUAUGUGGCACAGGAUAAAUAAUCCCAGCACGAUAGAGUUUGAGGACCUCUUUCUUAACAACCUCUCGCAUAGCAUUGUUAAGUCUCCGUUGUGGUUCCCUUGAAGGUGUAGAAUUGGGAUCAAUAGGGAUACGAUGAGUGCAGAGAAUGGGACUAAUGCCCGUGAGAUCCUCGAGAGAGUAGCCAAAUGCUGAUCUAUGUCUUUCAAGAACAGUGACAAGUUGUUGUGUUUCAUAAUCGGAAAGCUUGUCACUGAUAAUUACUGGAGUUUUUGAGUUGUUGUGCAAAAAGACAUAUCUAAGGCCAGAAGGAAGAGGUUUUAAUUCUAUCGAAGGAGGUGAAGUUAGUUCAUUUUUGUCUAGCUCAACGGGUUCUACCAACUCUUCUUCUUCUUGAACAAAGUGUUCAUCAUUAAAGAAUGGUUGGGCCAUCUCCUCUUGAGUCAACAUUAAGAUCUCCUCAAUAGGAUCUGGUACAAGUUUGGGUUCCACUAUCGUGUUAAUUGAUCUAACAAGAGGAACAACAAUAGUGGAAUUCCCAACCUUGAAGUCUAAAUGACCUCGUUGUGGUUGUUCAUGUAGAAGUUUUAUGAUUGGUCUACCAAUCAAGAGAGGAAUCUCUGGUAUGUCAAAAAUGUGAAAAUCUAGACAUAUUCCAGAGUCCUUGAUUCUAACAGGAACUGCCCUUAAUACCCCAUGGCUUUCUAGAAUUAAUCCAGGUGGACUUUGUAAAAGUUUUUGAGAUGGGGUUAUGGACUCGUUGGGAUAAAGAGUGUCAGCUAACUCCUUGGAAAUAACAUUUAUCCCAACAUAUGGAUUGUAGUGGACCUUCCUAACGGACCGUCUAAUUUGGCACAGAAGAAUGGUUGAAGGAGUGAUGAUUCGAGCUACCUCAGGAGACAGCUCUGCUUCUGUUAGCCAUUCAUAACUUAGAAUAGCCGAAAGGCUUUUGAUGUGUUCUAUGUCAACAGAUUCUACUCUUAGAACGGAUUGAGUGGUCCUUGCUAGAGGUCGUGUUUGGAUAGGAAAAUUCGAGGUGUUUCCAUAAUCUUCAAAAAGAUCUUCCUCGAAUUGAAAGGGAUGCUCUAAAGGUGGUGGUUCAUCAUCCUUUAGUUGGUUUUGCAUUCCCUUAUCAGGAGGUUUCUCUACAACCAAAUUAAUGGAUGGGUCAGGUGGAAUUUCUAUCUCGGUUGCAAGUUCCACAUCUUUUGGUUUAGGAUCAGGCUCGACUUCGUUUUCUUCUUCAAGAAACUCAUCAUAAAUGCCUGUGUAAGGGGUAUUUUCAAGGAUUCUUUCUAGGAUAGCUCUCCCCUCAUCUGUGAGUUUGUGUGUGAAUGAGCCUCCUGAAGCAAUGUCGAGGUGAAGAGCAGCUUCCUUAUUAAGACCACGAUAGAAGUGGUAGUACAGUACAUGGUCAGGCAGAGAAAGGUUUGGACCGGAAUUGGUAAGGCUUGUGAACCUAGCCCAAGCUGCUCCUAAAGUUUCCUUCUCUCUUUGUUUGAAUGUAAGAAUUUCAAUUCUAAGGUCAGCAAUUCGAAAAAGUGGGAAGAAAGCGAGACAAAAGUUGUCCCGAAGUUCAUCCCAAUUUCCAUUAACGCCUCCUACAGAAUGAGCAUACCACUUCUUUGCUCUUCCCAAAAGGGAGAACGGAAAUAAUUUCCAUAUAAGGGUGUCUUGUGUCAUGCCGGAAAUAGAUCGGCAAGAGCACAACUGCUCGAAUUCUCUAAGGUGGGUGUAUGGAUCUUCAUCUACAUGAUGGUGGUGGCUCUAAUAACUCGCCCUUUGGAGCAAAGAAUUUAUAGAUAGGAGUGAAAUCCAUGUGGUGUGGUGAAAAUGGUAAGGUGAGUGUGGUAAAAGGGAAAAGAAAAAGGAUACACGGACGACUUGGUUCGAAACUAGCACAGCUACCGUUCCCCGGCAACGGCGCCAGAAAGCUUGUUGGGUAUUUUAAACGCAAACAGAAAAAUCCGCAAGCGCACGGAUACCGAUGUAGCCUUCACCCGGGAGUAUUCCAGAGUAUCGAUUUUCCACAGGGAACGUGAGUGUACUAAUUAAGAUUCAAGAUCGCCCAAGGAUAACUAUAUAAUUAUUUUUGGUGGGAAGAGAGGAAGUUUCCUGAGAGUUCUCUAGUUGAUCUAAGAAUCAAGAAUUACUUCAAGAUUAUCUAUAUCAGGACAUCAGAGCACUAACCACAGAAAGAGAUGAGAAGGGGGCUAGGAAGGUCUGACUACGGUCCUACAAACACCGAUCCGAACAUGGUAGAAUACGUCGACCGUUAGGGCUGUCACUACCCUAGGGCUACCACAACAAUCCGUAGGAUUGGGUGCAAUUCCAGGUAAUCGCAAGACUAAACACCACGUCUAAUCUAUUAAUUACUACUUUAGCGUUAUAAAGACUAGAGCACUUGAUGCAAGCGGGAAUCCAAUAAAUAACUUGAAUGUAAAUAAAAGUAAUUAGAGAACUCAGGAGUUAUGAAUUGAAGAACCUGGAGAACGAUGAAGAACGAACCAGUUGCUGCAAAAGUACAAUGUUGAGGAAGAUCCGACAGAUCCGGCUCCUCCUCCGCUCUCCUCUUCUCUCUCCCUAUUUUCUAGAUUACAACUAGAACUAACUAGAACUAGAACUAGAGGAACUAGAACUAGAACUAGAUGAACUAGAACUAGAUCUAGAUGAACUAGAGGUAGAACUAGAAGAACUAGAGGGAUCCUCUCUACUUGGAUGAAGAAUUGAAACCCUAGCUUUGAUUCUGUAGAAGAGGUAUAAUCUCCAGGGGCCAGGGAGGUCUGGUUUUAUAGUCCCUUCAAGUGAAUCUGGGCCGUCGGAUCAAACCGACAUUGAUCGCACGGUUUUCCUUGAUCCUUUAGGUCGGUGGAGCGUUGUCCGCGAAACGUGACCGAAUUGGUCUCUGGAAGUGGGCGGGCGCCCAAGGGAUCAGGGCGGGCGCCCUGUGCGUGAGCCCUCUCGGCCUCCGCUUUGGUCCCGUGGCUUCUGGAGUCUUCUAGAUGAUAGAAAAUUGCGCGACACGUUAAUAUCUCUAUGUAAACCCGACGUGUGGGCCUUUCUUCCGUAUUUCCUGAUAACCCCCUGCAGAAAUAGACAAACACCAAAACUCGUGGAAUUCUGUCAGAUAAAACCCUAAGUCUGGGUGUUGGUUGCAUUUGGAUCCUUUUCCAUGAUUAAUUGAUGGUUAAAUAUGAGCAUUAAGGACCGUCAACACCCCCCUUAGAACAAUAACUACACAGCUUACCAUAGGUUAGAGGAAGACUAACGGAGUAAUCCUCUCUAUAUCGCUCAUAUCUCACUAUCUUGUCUGUAGCCUAGGGGUUAAGUAUAUAUUUGGUUUAGUCAGAUGCACACUUUCUCCUAGCACAUAAAUAAAUAAUGAUACUCUAUAUAUCUCGGGUGACAUGCUCACCGAUGUCCGUGCACUUGCGGAUUACUUCUCUAUUUGCGUAUCUAGUAUCAACAAGCAUUUCUGAUGCCGUUGCCGAGGAGAAAUAUAGUCUGUUGAGAUAACUUUAAGUCAGGGUUAACCUUGUAUUAUACUUUGCUGUAUAAUGAUACUCUAUAUUUCUCUAUUUGCGUAUCUAGUAUCAACAAGCAUUUCUGAUGCACUAGCCUUCAAGAUGAUAUCCUAGAGUUUUCCUUUAUUUAUCCAUUAGUGAGGUGAGGUUUGUCCUUAUUAUUAGUGGACACACUCCUUGCACUAGCCUUCAAGAUGAUAUCCUAGAGGUAGAGAAGGAAGCACCCCCAAACUUGAAGAGGAAGUUUUCAUAGCCACUUUGCAAACAUUCUAAUCCCAUGAUUCGGCUAUCCAUCCCAAACUAGCAAUACUCCAAAAUCCUUUAAGGGAAGAAGUAGUUCUACCUUUAGAAAUCCUUUCCAAUGAUUUUGGGAGGAAUUUAAACUUCCCGCUUCAUAAGAGAUAUUUUAGUGCAUAUAGUUUGAAUCUUCAAAACAUAUCUCUUAGAAAGCUUUUCAAAUCCAAUCCCUUUGAAAGACAAUUAGAAAGACUCAAAGAUGGCAUGUCAAUUGAUGCCAUAGGACUGUGAAGCCAUCUAGAAGCCACUCUUAUCCUCUCCCCUUCUAUGCCCACAUUAGAUAUAGAAUAUGAACCCGUCUUUAAACCCAUCCUUGACUACUAUGGCUUGUUUUAUGCUCUUUCUCCUAAACCUCCUGAUGAUUCUAGAAAUCCAUCUAGAUAUGUGUUGACGGUCCUUAAGUAUCAAAUUUAAUUAUCAAAUAAACAAAGAAAAGGAUCCAAAUGAAAUCAACAACCAGACUUAGGGUUUCAUCUGACAGAAUUCCACGAGUUUUGGUGUUUGUCUAUUUCUGCAGGGGGUUAUCAGGAAAUACAGAAGAAAGGCCCACACAUCGGGAUUACAUAGAGAUAUCAACGUGACGCACAAUUAUCUUACAUCUAGAAGACUCCAGAAGCCACGGGAAGGAAGCGGAGGCCGAACUAAUACCCGAUUUUAAGGACAAAACCAGAUAUGCACCAUAUGUGAGUUUUAGAAGUCAAAUCUCACAUAUAGCUACAAAUAAAGGGUAAUAUCAUAAGACAAUGCAUAAAUAUAUAACGUACUUAGUAUAAAAGAGAUAACCUUUGAUAACAAACAGCAGAUAGACAACUCCAAACUUCAGGUAUUAACUCCUCUCCAUAGGAUCAAACUGACUGGUUGAUCACAAGCCUAAAGCAACUCCUGAAGUGAGGGGGAAAUUGCAAGAGUGAGCACAUAUCAUACUCAACAAGUAUAACCAGGGGUUCAUGAGGCUCAAUAAGCUGACACUGGUUUGACUGUGUUUAGCUUUUAUAUGUAGAUAACAUAUUUAAUCAUUGGAUAGCAAAUAUCAAGGUAGCAUAAUUAAUCCCAUAACCACAUGAUCAAUGUAUAUAAGAAUUAUGAAUAACACAUAUAAACAACAUAAUAAACCAUCAUUUAUUAUCAUUAAUCAUGUUCAUCAGUGUCCGUCUAUUCCGUCAAUUUUCUGGGCCGCCCGUAUCCGUGGGCACGGCUAGUAUAGCAGAUUUAACACUCUGCAGAGGUUGUACAUCUUUACCCAUGAGUCGUGAUUUACCUUUUUGCCUGAGGUUGCAAGUCUCUUAACCCCAUUCCUAGGGAGGUCGGCAGGGAUCACUAUGAAGCCUUUCAAAGGUUUCGUCUAACAAGUUAGGACCAUUAGAUUCACUCGGCAGGCAGAUAUAGAGCCCCCUUCCAUGGCACAUAACCCGCAGCCUAUACACAUGGAUAGAGGCCACACUAUACCCAACGUGUCUAGCCAUUCUUACGCCAUUUAAGGUAACCGCUAACAAGCUAGAAAAAGGUCCUCAUACUGAGCUAAAACCAGAGCCAUAUAGCCCUCAUGGUUGUACGAGUUGUCCCACCUUUUGCCAAGGGAUAAGUUCUUAUGGAGGGUCAAGAUCAAUCUAGCAAAAGCUAGAGUUCUUUCCACCCUUUAUGUUCAAGUUGCUAGAAAGCUUAUUUUAUUGUUUAUUGUAUAUCCAAAUAUUCAUGUUACAAGAUCAUGGAUUAUUAAUCAAGCACUAGCAAGAACUACCCAAGUGCAUAUCUAAAAUAGGUAACAAGGAAUUCAGGAUAACAAUCAUCUAUGAUUUUGCUAAGGUCAUCAAGGUGGACACAUGCAUAUGAUAAAUAUUGUAUUAAUUGUGUAUAGGUAACAAGGAUGAUCUCUAGUUAUACUUGCCUUGAUCAAAGCUCUCCUGAGCCUGCUGGUCUUCAAAGGCUUGGUCUUGAUCACCAACGUACGGCUCACCGUCUAUUCCCAAACAUGGAUCAACAACACGCAAUCCAAUGUAGACAAUCAUACACAAAGCAAACAAGCUAUAAUUAGAACAUUACACCAAUAGUGAGAAAUUAAAGAUAAAAGUUUAUAAAAAUAUUCUCGCAGCGCUACGAUCACACAAACGUAAAGUACACGAAAAUCGGAUUUAAAACGUAGAAGUUAUGAUUUUUUUCUAAGAUUUCUUAUAGAUAAUUAAUUAAUUAAAUGCUACUGCAAAAUUAAAAAGUUUCAAAACAGUGGACUAAUACUUCUAACAUGUAGAGCUCGUAAAAAUGAAUCUAACGCAAUUUGAAUAGGUCAAAACGGAGUUAAGAUGAAUAUUUUAUGGCCAAAAAAAAGUCAGUGGCAAAUUCUGUAAAUACCUCAUCUUGUUACCUUGAGCACGUACACAUCAGGCCAUGGCUGAUUCGGCCUUGCCGACCAGCGCAGGGAUCAAAGACGGCUUGGAGAUCGCAGGGGCUGGCUCUACAAAAUUUCGCGCAGUCACAGACAAGUCUCCAAUCUUGAUUUCAGCGAGGAAACGAAACAUCCGCGCUUGAAGGUAGGCAUGGCUGUAUAGGCGAUGAUGGCGAUCACGUUGUAGAGAAGAAAAUAUAAAUUUUAUUUUACUACCUUAAGAAUUCUCAAAUUAGAGACUUCCCAUAUGAUAGUCUUUGAUGUGCUUUGCCUAAGGGGUUGGUACAUAUAUAUAGGGAGAAAAACUCCCCACCUCCACGUCAACUAGCAAUAUGGUACUAAUUGAUUUGCAACCUUCAUCUUCACUAAUAGGUCUAAUUAAUUAUUAAAGCCCAUUAGUAAAUAAAUACAUGGUUUUUAUGAUUUAUUAUGGGCUUUGACGUUGGAAAAAUAAUAAGAGAUUUAUUAUUUUUGGAAUUAAUUAUUUUCAUUGAUAAAAUAAUUCUAGAAAAGUUUAGAAUUAGUAGUUAAGCCACGAAAAAUACUCCAAAAGCUCCGAAAAUUCAGGAAAAAUUCUCAGAGAUAUUAUAGAACAUGGGAAACCCGAAUAAAGUUUUUGGAGCUCAUGAUAAGAUUGUUUGAAGCAUCUAAAAAUUAGAUUUAUGCUCAUAGGAAAGGCUAGAAAAUACCCGAGAAGUUUGUAGAGAAUUCUUGAUGGACGAGAAAUUCAAACGAGUGACUUACGUUUGAAAGAAAAGAUUCUGAGAGACAAUGACCGAAAUCUUGAGCUAAGAGACAAGGAAUUUGAUUGUAGAAAAAGGUAAAUAUGUGCCGAAUAAGGAAGAUCGAUCUACUAAACGUAUUUUAAAUAUUUUUCUUACUAUCAACACAUAAAGGAGCAACAAGCAUCACAUCAAAACAUAUGCACCAGCAUGUAUGUAUAAUAAUGUUGCUAAGCCUUAUGAUAAAUUUUAAUUUAAUUAAAAUAUUAUUUUUUCUAUAUUUUCAUGAGCACAAAAAUAUUAAAUUAAAUAAUUUUAUCUAUAUUUCAAAAGGAGUAAAUUUUAGGGUGUUACAUAGCCUGGCCCUGGGCGCCCGCCCAGGAGACCAGGGCGCCCGCCCCCUUCUGGGUACAAUCAGGACUCUCCUUCGGGAUCAAUCUCCACCGACCUAAAGGAUCUAGGAUAACCGUUCAAUCAAUGUCGGCUUGAUCCAACAGCCCAUAUUCACUUGAAGGGACUACAAAACCAGACCCUCUGGGCCCUGGAGGAGAGAGCCUCUCAACCCUAAUUCAUUAUUCUCACGGGAGAAGAAGCCUCUGAUCAAGCCUAGAGCCACAACAUCAAUUAGACAUCUAGAUUAGCAUAGCUACAUAGGAUUAGAACUAGAAGGAGUCAAUCUUCGAUUGGUUUCCGGAUCUGUCAAGAGGAUUCUUGGUAAUUCUCUAAUUGUUCUUCUAAUUGUUCAUCUUUGUUCUUCAAUAUUAUGAAUAUGACUUUGUUCUACAUCAAUAUAUUGCUUACGACUUUGCUCUACUUGUUUAUAUUCAAGAUUAUAUUGUUCUUAGUUUAUCAUAGUUAUGUACUUGGCUUAGUUAGAUUGGAUCUAUAUACAUGUUUAGGAUCGUAUAGCGUUUAUCCAUCGGAUCCAUGAGUAAAUGAUAGAUAUUGUGUAGGCGUGGUGCUUAUACCGUAUUUAUCUGCGAUUGUACCCCCAGAUCAUGGGGUAGUUCAUGAUAGUGACAGCUUCAUUGAUUCUUAUAUAGUCCCCCUCUCGUGUAUUGGGCUGGCAGAGCAACAUUAUUACAGGGGAGUGAUUACGAUGUUUCUCAUAUUCCUUGCUAAUAUCACUAUGCAUGGGCGUAGUCUUGUCUCGCAAUGAUUGCUAAGUAUGCUUGCACUAACUAUGAUAAUGUUAGACGGUAUAGUUAAGAAUAACUUAGAAAAUAUUCUUGUAGUUCGUUCUAAUUCCAUGCUAAUGACUUGCUAGAAUAUCUAAUUGAGGUGCUUAUCAUAUUUAUAUGUGGCUAAGUUAUGCUGAUCAGAUUAAUUAUCUUUGUCACCAUUCAUUACUUCAUAUAUCCUUUAUGUGACACUUAUCCCUGUAUGAAAGAGUUAGAUAAAUGUUCUCAAUUAUACAUGCAUUGAUAGAUACUCAAUCUCAUAUUCCAUUCUAUAAUCAACAUUGAUGGUUACUAAUCCCUUCCCAGUGGUAAAAAUAUAAAUAACGAUACCUAGAAUACUUCCCGGUUAAAAUGCUACAUCGGUAUUAAUCUAUGCGCUUGCAGAUCCCAUUCAUUAUUUAUUUAGACGAGCAAUUGCAUAUUUCAAUACCGCGUCUCUCAUGUCAUACUGGGGAUGACAACUUGGCUUAAGUGGUAUGAGAGAUAGGUUUGGCAUUUUUGGCACUGUUAUCAGAAUUAGAAACUGUUUACUUUUGGUAGUGAUGUUAAGAAUACCUAACAAUAUCCCAUGCAUAGGAAUCAUCAAGACCAUACAGAAGAUCAAGAACAUGGCUAGAGUGCAACUAAAACUUAUGUGCUAUUGCCAUUUAAUGGAUGGACAAGGCCUUAGAUAAGAUCAAUUCAAGAGAUGAUGCAAGGGAAUGUUUGGACAUAUAUGUCUAGUCACCCUUGGAAGUCGAAAAUGAUGGAGACUUCAAUGAGCAAGGAAGCUACUUCAUUAACACCCCAUGAGUUCCUUGCUCAUAUGAAAAAUCUCCUAAUUCACUUAGUCUCUCUACCUUUGCCCCACAUGAGGUCUUCAACCCCCUCAUGCUCUCUGUUCCUAACUGUUGACGGUCCUUAAGUAUCAAAUUUAAUUAUCAAAUAAAUAAAGAAAAGGAUCCAAAUGAAAUCAAGAUCUAGACUUAGGGUUUUAUCUGACAGAAUUCCACGAGUUUUGGUGUUUGUCUAUUUCUGCAGGGGGUUAUUAGGAAAUAUGGAAGAAAGGCCCACAUGUCAGGAUUACGUAAAGAUAUUAACGUGCUGUGCAAUUAUCUUACAUCUAGAAGACUCCAGAAGCCACGAGACCGAAGCGGAGGCGAAACAGGGCCAGAGGCAGGGCGCCCGCCCUGUCCUACUGGGCGCCCGCCCCCUGUCCAAGUCCAAUCAGGACUCUGCUUUGCGGGAAGUCUCCACCGACCUAAAGGAUGAAUCUAAACCAUACAAUCUAUGUCGGUUUGAUCCAAGGGCCCAUAUUCACUUGAAGGGACUAUAAAACCAGACCCCCUGGCCCCUGGAGGAGAGAGCCUCUCAACCCUAAUUCAUUGUUCCAUCAAGGGAGAAGAAGCCUCUGAUCGAGAUUAGAGCCACCACAUCAAUUAGAUAUCUAGAUUAGCAUAGCUACAUAGGAUUAGAACUAGAAGGAGUCAAUCUUCGAUUGGUUCCCGGAUCUGUCAAGAGGAUUCUUGGUAAUUCUCUAAUUGUGUUUCUAAUUACUUUCUAAUUAUCUUUGUUCUUCAAUAUUAUGAAUAUGACUUUGUUCUACUUCAAUAUAUUGCUUAUGACUUUGCUCUACUUGCUUAUAUUCAAGAUUAUAUUGUUCUUAGUUUAUCAUAGUUAUGUACUUAGCUUAGUUAGAUACAAUCUAUAUACAUGCUUAGGAUCGUAUAGCGUUUAUCCAUCGGAUCCAUGGGUAAAUGAUAGAUAUUGUGUAGGCGUGGUGCUUAUACCGUAUUUAUCUGCGAUUGUACCCAAUAUGCCAGAUCGUGGGGUAGUUCGUGAUAGUGACAGCUUCAUUGAUUCUUAUAUAGUCCCCCUCUCGUGUAUUGGGCUGGCAGAGCAACAUUAUUACAGGGGAGUGAUUGCUAUGUUUCUCAUAUUCCUUGCUAAUAUCACUAUGCAUGGGCGUAGUCUUGUCUCGCAAUGAUUGCUAAGUAUGCUUGCACUAAUUAUGAUAAUGCUAGACUAUAUAGUUGAGAAUAACUUAGGGAAUAUUCUUGUAGUUCGUUCUAAUACCAUGCUAAUGACUUUCUAGAGUAUCUAAUUGAGGUGCUUAUCAUAUUUAUUAUGUGGCUAGAUCAGAUUAGUUAUUCUUGUCACUAUUAUUAUUUCAUAUAUCUUUUAUGUGACACUUAUCCCUAUAUGAUGAGUUAGAUAUAAUGUUCUCAAUUAUACAUGCAAUGAUAGAUGCUCAAUCUCAUAUUCUAUUCUGUAAUCAUUAGUGAUGAUUUCUAAUCCCUUCCCAGUGGUGAAAAUAUAAAUAACGAUACCUGGAAUACUUCCCGGUUAAAAUUCUACAUCGGUAUUAAUCUGUGCGCUUGCAGAUCCCAUUCAUUAUUUAUUUAGAAGAGCAAUUGCAUAUUUCAAUACCGCGUCUCUUAUAUCAUGCUGGGGAUGACAACUUGGCUUAAGUGGUGUGAGGGAUAGGUUUGGCAUUUUUGGCACCGUUGCUAGAUUUAGAGAACUUAGUCUACUUUUAGUAAUGAUGUUAAGAAUACCCAACAAGCAUUUUUGGCGCCGUUGUCGGGGAAGGUUGAUUACUAAUCAGGAAUAGAAUAAAAGAUUUAGAGUAAUCAUUCGCAUCACUAAUAUGAUUGAGCUUAUCUAUUCUCUCAUACAGUUUUACCCCGAUAUUUUUCUAUUUUUAUCUUAUGCAGGGGAAUGUAUGAAUAGAAGACAUCUUCCAGGAAAUUUUGUUGACAAUCCCGAAGCAUUAUUCAAGAAGACGAGAGCCAAGCUAAAGAAAUCAUCAACACUUCACGAAGAAGCUUCAUCCAAUCAAGAAGAUCACCGGAACUUGUCUUCAGAGUUCGAAGCCAUGGCGAACAAAUCGAUCCGCGAGUUCUUAGCUCCCACUACGGACAACAUCCGCACUGGACCUGCUGCAGAGAUCGAUGGCAACUUUGAGCUCAAGCCUGGACUUAUCAACAAGGUGCAAUCCAACCAGUUCUGUGGGAAGGCACACGAAGAUGCUAGUGCUCAUUUACAACACUUUCUGGAGAUUUGCAACACAUUCACCAUAGCAGGAGUUUCCAAAGACGCUAUACUACUUCGCCUCUUCCCAUUCUCACUAUUAGGAAGAGCGAAGCAGUGGUUCUACGCUACAAAGGAGAAGAAUACUACGUGGGCACUCUGCUCAACAAACUUCCUGGCUAAGUUCUUUCCCAUGGGCAAAACCAAUGCUCUCCGUGGGAAGAUUACAAGUUUUCAGCAACAAAAUGAUGAAUCUGUUCCAGAAGCAUGGGAGCGCUUUCAAGACUACAUCCUAGAAUGUCCCCAUUAUGGAAUGGAGAGUUGGCUAUUGAUGCAGACGUUUUAUCAUGGGCUCGGCAACAGUGCCCGAGAGACUAUGGAUGCUGCAGCUGGAGGAGCAUUCUUAUCACUUACUAUACCACAAGCCGCAUCUCUUGUGGAGAAGAUGGCGUCCAACCAAAGCUGGAAUGAGGAGAGGACCCAGACACGCAAGAGAGGUGGAGGUAUACAUCAGCUGAAAGAGGUAGACAUGCUGUCUGCAAAGCUAGACCUGCUCAUGAAGAAGCUCGAUGAUAGAGCUGGAGACAAGAAAGAAGUUAUGCACAUCUACGACUCUCACAUGACUUGUGAGGAGUGUGGAGACACUGGACACUCAGGCAACCACUGCCCUGAGAUACUUGAGGAUGUGAACUACAUCAACAACAACAACAACAACUACUACAACCGUCCUCAACAAAAUCAAGGUUGGAAUCAACAGAGGCCUAACUACUCAGGUAAUUAUCAAGGUAACAAUUCUUACAACAAUAAUAAUAAUUUUCCACCUUUGAGAGAGUUAGUGUCUAAUCAAGGAAAGCUAAUGGAUAACCUAUCUAAGAAAUUGGCAUCUAAUGAUAAAAUGCUAGAAAAUAUAAAUAAUAGAAUGGAUAAUUUCUCUACUGCCAUCAAGAAUCAAAUUAGCUUUAAUAAAAUGAUUGAAUCUCAGUUAAAUCAAAUAGCUGCUGUUGUUCCUACUACUAACCCCGGUAUACCAUCACAACCGGAAGGAUUAGAAUCUGCAAAUCUUGUAGACAUGAUUGAUGCAGGUAAUUGGAGUAACCCCGUCACUGAAUUUUCUACUGACCAUCUGCCGGUCAAGAGAGGCGAUCCAGGACGCCCCGUCAUCCCGAUCUCCAUCGGCAUGGUGGACGUCCCAGAAGCACUCUGUGACUUUGGCUCUAGCGUCAACAUUAUACCCAGGGUACUCUAUAAAAAAUUCUUUACAUAUCCUUUAUUAGAGACAACCAUGUGUUUGCAGUUUGCAGAUCAGACGAUAACUUUUCCAAAAGGAAUCGUGAGGAACCUUUGUGUCCGAGUUGGUACCUUAUAUGCCCCAGCAGACUUCGUAGUGGUAGAGACCGGAAAUGAUGAGAGAGCACCUAUCAUCCUAGGGAGGCCAUUUCUGAACACCACGGGAGCUAUCAUCUACGCCAGUGCUGCCAAGAUCAGUUUCUACGUCAAAGGGAAGAAGGAGACAUUUUUCUUCAAGAACAAGACUACACAAAUUCCAGAUCAAUCCAGACGUGAAUCAAGGAAGAGGACCAACAGGAGAAACAGGAACAAGCAAGUGUGGACCGAGUCAGCUAAGAUGGUCACUAUAGUCCAUGGAGGCCAAGAUCACCAACUGAAGUCACCGUUUUUUGACCAAGAAGGACGACCCAGGAAUGCCAAGCAUUUACUGCUCCAUAAAUGGAUAUAACUUCUACAAGACGAUUUGCGACACCAGAUCAGGCGUCAACAUAAUGGCCGCAGUCACCUAUCGGCUCUUGUUCGGGACCAUGCCACUAAGACCAACAUACAUUCAGCUCCAGAUGGCAGAUCAAACAUUUCGAGAAGUUCAAGGAAUAGUAUCUGAUGUCCCAGUCAAAAUAGACAAUCACUUUGUCUACACAGACUUUCAAGUUGUUGACAUGGGAGAAGACGAGUAUGAUCCACCCAUCAUCCUUGGAAGGCCGUUCCUCAGCACCGUUAAAGCAAUUAUCUACAUUGGAACCGGAGAAGUCCAUAUGCACUUCCCCUCAGAGAAGGUACGCCGUUAUUUUACUGACCCUAACUAUAUCGUUGAAGAAUCUAAGCAGGUCAGAAAGAGACGCAACCGCAACCAGAGGAGGCAGAUCAUCAAGGACGGAUGGGCAGACUAUGAAGGAGAAGUUGUAAGGUCAGAAGACGUAGAGUUUAAACAGAAUUAUCUAGAGGAGAUUGAAGCACCGAGUCAGGUAUGGAAAAUGAAGAUAACUAUACAAGAAGAGGAGGCGCUGCCGGAAAUACCGACUAUGCCACCCAACGAACCUCAGGACGAUUAAGAAAUUGGAGAGUCCCGUUCGGAGGACUUAAAAACACCGAACGCCUUGCCAAGAGGUAAACUUGGUAGUUACCCUUUCCCUUUUAAUCAUUUCAAUUAUUUCAAAUAGUUUACUUAGUUAAUCAAGUUCAUGCUGUCUUAAAAAGAAAAUAAAAAUAUGAAAAACAGUAAGCCCCAUGUGAGUAUACGAGUGGCAUAAAACCCAUAAGUACUUUCACUGUGGUGGCAUAAAAAUAAAAUAAAUAUUUUUCUGCUUUAUAAAAUAAAAAUAUAAAAACAGGGAGUAAUAAUUAUUAAGGAGUCUCAAGAUGAUGAAGACUAUAUAUUUAUGCUAACACUUAAUUAGUUCCACAAGCUUUGUUGUCUAUUUAAGCUCCACAGAAUUCAAGAAGACUAGCAGAACGAGGACAUUCUAAUCGCUGUCAGAAUGCUGCUGACUUUCAAAUACACCUCUGCCGCCUGCUAGCUACAUCAAGAGAAAUUACGUCAAAAUUCAGCUUGGGGGAGAGCACCCCCAUUUAUUCCGAUAAGUAUUUUUAUCUAUCUUUAUACUUAUAUUAUUUUAGAAUAUUAAAAUACACAUAAACUAUGGAAAAACCAAAUAAAGAUUUUAUGCUUAUAUAUGUCUUUUGCUUAGUGUGUUUAAUAAAUAAAUAAAGUGGCUAUGCUAAUCUGUAUCUAAAUAAAACUUAAGCAUGGAUAUGAUGAAAAGUUGCUCUGCCUAAUUUGCAAAUUUUAAGUUCUCUCUCAAGUUUAGAUAUAACUGUUAUAAUUUAAAGCUUGCUCUAGAUCUAAACUUGUGGGAUAAAAACAUGAUCUGAAGUCUAAGUUGUUAACGGAUACGAUAUGGGAAGGCUGAGCUGCUGUUUAUCUGUUCCUAGAGAUGCUAGAAUUCUGGAGAAUUUUAUCUUUGAAAAUCUUUAAAAUGUUGCAUGAUGAGUUCCUGUAUGAUGAGAGCUUAAAAUUCCUACCACAGCCAUAUAUACAUGCUUGCUAGACUUUGAGCCACACAUUUAUUAUUUACUGCUUAUGAGCAUUGAGUGUGGUCAAGCUGUGUAGACCCUUAGGAGCUUGUCAUGUGGUUAAAUCAAGAUUUCACUUACACGUUCACUCAUAUAUGCUACUUCUACUCCGGAAGUACCAUCCACAUAUAUCCAUUCAUUUCCAUCUCCAGAACCACCUAAAAAUAUUCUACUCCUAAUUCGGGAGAGAAUAACCAAAAAUAUUUCUGUUUUUCCCCUUGUGAAAUAAAUGCUCAAGUUAUCUUGUUACUACCACUUGCUAUAUUAUCUCAUGAGAUGAAUGCUCAAUAUUAAAAAAAAAAUAAUACGAGGAAAUAAAAAGGAGCAAGUGCUCGGAACCUCGAAAGAAAAGAAAAAGUGAGACGAGAGGUAAAAAUGGACAAGUGUCCGACAGUAGAAUUAGGGGUGCAAGAUACCCACCUGAGAGAAAAGAAAAAAGAAGAGCAUCUCAUUCUCCUCAUAAAGUUUCAAAAGCAAGGAAGGUAUGUAUCCCCUCAAAAGAGCAAAGUAGAAUUAGACUUCCACCACCAUUGUUUUCACCAUUGUUAUCACCAUCAUCACCAUAUACCAUUCAUUCGCCACACAUGCACAUCUUGAUUUGGCUUAUUGACUUGUUACUUUGGAUCCAUGGUUUGACUAUGCAAUAAAUGUCUUGUAAGUAUGUAUAUUUUAUCUCCCACCUAUGAGCUCCAGAUAUUAAAGCCUUAUUAGAGUAGGGUGAGAGAGAAGGCAAUGUCACUAUGCUUUAUACCACAAAUACCACAUAUCUUGAGAGAAGGCAUAUACCAUCAAUGCCUUGGUAAGGAUCCAAAAAUACCACAAAAGAGAGACCUGAGAGAAUCAUACAAGGAAUCUCUGAGUUUUAUUUGAAAAUAUGCAAAAAUCCCAGAGCUAUAGCUGAUCAAGAAUAAGAGACAAGGCACUUGGCUAGACUGUUCUAUCUUUUAACCACUCAAGACAGAAGUGACAGUUACAAGUCCCAUG
rnacentral:lncRNA from 1 species